CUCGUGGGGCUUGCAGCAAGGCUCGAAGUACGGUGGUCGCUUCUCUUGCGACAAAACUUAUUUUCUAAUCACCGAAACCAAUUGCGCCAAGAGGCCGAAUUUACAAAAAUUCGACAGCAUCGACGGAGCAUGUAUGUUUUGAAUACUGGAUUCGUAGAGAACUGUACAAAAGGAUGGAAGAAAAUCGUAAACUUGGAAGCAAUAAGCUUGUAUUUCAAGAAUCUGAAUGCAAAUACUUACCAAUGAGGCGCGAUUGAACGGCGUGCGGUUUUAUUACACAGCAGGUGCAGUUCUUGAGCGUUGCGGUGUUCUUGAUACUCCUGCUCCUGACCUUUUCAUCAGGAAAGAAGUACCUCAAUUCCUGUAAAGGUUUAAGUUCGGUUGACACGCUCUGAAUUUCGCCGAGGAAAAUUUGAUCGAAUUGUUCAACGUACUCUAGCUGCACUUUCCGAGGAAUCUGACCCAUGCACCGCAUUGUAGACCUUGUCUUUGCCGUAACAAGCCCGAAUAGUAUUCUGAGCAGUUUCUCGAGCUUCCACGCUGUCCGUUGGUCCCAUCAGCUCUCGCCAUUUGUCAAUUCCCUGUUCGCCGAUAAGCUGGAGUGUCAAAAUUGGACCUGACGUCAUGUACUUCAGCAACAUUCUGCAAAAACAGUGCGACAUUGUCGGAUUGAGGCCAAGGACCACCGAGUCGCAGACGCCUUGGUAAAAGAAAUGGCGUUCAAAACUCACGAUGUGCCUAGAUGCCGCUACUGUGAAAAAAUAUACGGAUUGAGGAGCAAACCAAAGGGUUUCACGACUACACGAAUGCAUCUCACGUUGCCGGCAAUCAGGCGCAGCACACACCGCGAAUGCUGCGGACGACUCUGCGGAAAUAUAUUUUGUUUUUCAAUACUAUAUUAAUGAAAUGUGAGAUUCGUUGAUUCUUGACUCGAAGUUGAGUUAAUGUCUCAAACUCGAUUGUAAUACUAUGUGUAAUGAUGCGUAAGAAUUGAUCAUUGAUUAUGACACGUUGUUAAAUGUAAUGAAUGUAGUACAGUGAUUAUGUUUACCUCGGAAUUUGAAAUUCGGAUACUGAGAGAAUGAUACAUUGUAUUUACAUACUGAAAUAUAUUUGCUUGUUCAGAUUGUGUAA
rnacentral:lncRNA from 1 species